CCGCUCGACGUGUUUGGCAUGGUCAUUGCUCGCGACGUCUUGGACAUUGAUCCCAAGCGCAAUAUCAUCUUCGCUCGCCCAAGGAGUAACCCUCAAACCAUCACGGAGGAGCAUCCAUAUCUAGAACUCACAGGCCCAACCCGUGCCAUUGUGACAUCUUGCGAUCCAGGGAAAAUCGAGAUCGUACUCAAAGUUAAGGGUGCAACUGAAUCUGACAAUAGAGAUCUAAGUCUUCUUGUCUUACCGUUGAAGAAUCGUAUGUAUUGUGAAUAUGGCAGAUAUUACACUAGCAAACAUAGCACCCUGGAGUUAACAUUCCGGCACAUUGACAACUCUGUGGAGGCGACAAUCGGUGCACGCCUUAUUGGUGGAUCAUCAUGGCCACAUGGUUUGCAAGGUGUAAUGGCCGCUCGUAUUUCCGAUACGGAAGAUGCCGAAGUUUCUUUGCUUGCUUUUGAGGUAAAUUGCAUGUUAUUGCUGAUGAUGGCAUGA
rnacentral:rRNA from 1 species